GGAUCAAUUUAUUGGUCGUGCUAUUGUACGUACUGGUAUUAUUGAUUCCUACCUUCUGACGAACCAUGAUGUCAUUAAUUUGGUGUCAUGGGGAAUCAGGACUGUUACUUUGAAAAAAUUAGAGUGUUUAAAGCAGGCGUUUGCUUGAAUACAUUAGCAUGGAAUAAUGGAAUAGGGCUG
rnacentral:rRNA from 1 species